GGGGGAAUCACAGGAGUGGAAAAGCAAUCAACACCUUGGGUAAAAUGAGUCUUUCAGGAAAUGAAGGCUUGGCUUCCGAAAGACAGACUCAGAAGGGCUCAUGACAAGAGACUUUUCAGAUGUUUAAUAAAAACUUAGCUGGAUAAAUACUCCAAAUGACAACAAGCAGCAGGGAAGCUGCAGUGAACUAUGAAGGUUUCAUUCUCUCUUCGCUUCCAUAAAUGGAGUUUUCAGUGAGGGAGGGCCGCCCCGGUAAAUGCAGUGGAAUGUCAACAGGAUGCAACACGUUGGGAGAGCCUGCUACCCUCUGUAUUCUUCUCGAUUCCUUUUUACCUGCAGAGUCUCCAUGCUGCAGCCAGUUUGUGUGCCCAUGUGUCCUCAAUUGAUGACAUAUUACUUUUAAUAGAGUUAAUUCAUUCAAUUAAUAGACAUGGUUCUGCCCAAAGAACUCAUUGUGGGAUAGAAAAUUCUACAAAAGGUACUAAAAAAAAACAUUUCCCCCCCUGUCCUUCACAAAUAUGACCACACAGCACUAGAUUCAACAAUUAAUUUUAGCUGCUCAUUUUGCCUAAUUUCUGCGGAGAACCGAUUUUUCGUAACCUCUACAAAGUCUAGCUUCUACUUUCAAAACAAUGUGCUUAACUUCAUGUUCGUCUAUAAUUCUGAGGAUAUUUAGAAGAUAUUUAGUCCUGCCUGUGGUUAAAUGAAAUCACAUGGUCUGUUGCAUCAUACAUAUGAAUAAAAAAACAA